CCUACGGGGGGCAGCAGUAGGGAAUCUUCCACAAUGGACGAAAGUCUGAUGGAGCACCGCCGCGUGAGUGAAGAAGGGUUUCGGCUCGUACAGCUCUGUUGGUAGUGAAGAAAGAUAGAGGUAGUAACUGGCCUUUAUUUGACGGUAAUUACUUAGAAAGUCACGGCUAACUACGUGCCCUCAGCCGCGGUAAUACGUAGGUGGCAAGCGUUGUCCGGAUUUAUUGGGCGUAAAGCGAGUUCAGGCGGUUCAAUAAGUCUGAUGUGAAAGCCUUCGGCUCAACCGGAGAAUUGCAUCAGAAACUGUUGAACUGGAGUGCAGAAGAGGAGAGUGGAACUCCAUGUGUAGCGGUGGAAUGCGUAGAUAUAUGGAAGAACACCAGUGGCGAAGGCGGCUCUCUGGUCUGCAACUGACGCUGAGGCUCGAAAGCAUGGGUAGCGAACAGGAUUAGAUACCCGAGUAGUC
rnacentral:rRNA from 1 species